rnacentral:lncRNA from 1 species
GUAGCCUUUACUCCUUUAGGACUGGUUUAUAUAUAAAAGAAUGACAUGAGAAUAUUUGUUUGGAAAAUAACGCACAUGCAUAGACCCAACUCAUGUUUCCGUAUAUAUACAAAUAUACAAUGUGGUGCCAUCAUCUCACAUAUUUUAAUAUCCCUUUUCAAAUAAGGAAAUAUAUUUCAAUCAACUAUAAAGAUUGUGUUUAUAAGUGAGACUCGAAUGA